rnacentral:rRNA from 1 species
ACCGAAUAGAUACCCGGGUAGUCCACGCCGUAAACUAUGAACGCUAGCCCGUUGGCGAGCUUGCUCGUCAGUGGCGCAGCUAACGCAUUAAGCGUUCCGCCUGGGGAGUACGGCCGCAAGGUUGAAACUCAAAGAAAUUGACGGGGGCCCGCACAAGCGGUGGAGCAUGUGGUUUAAUUCGACGCAACGCGCAGAACCUUACCAGGGUUUGACAUCCCGAGACCGCUGCUGAAAGGCAGUUUCCCGCAAGGGCUCGGAGACAGGUGCUGCAUGGCUGUCGUCAGCUCGUGUCGUGAGAUGUUGGGUUAAGUCCCGCAACGAGCGCAACCCUCGCCUUUAGUUGCCAUCAUUAAGUUGGGCACUCUAGAGGGACCGCCGGCGACAAGCCGGAGGAAGGUGGGGAUGACGUCAAGUCCUCAUGGCCCUUACACCCUGGGCUACACACGUGCUACAAUGGCGGUGACAGUGAGCAGCUAACUCGCGAGAGUAUGCUAAUCUCCAAAAA